rnacentral:misc_RNA from 1 species
GUCGGAUAAUCACAUAAUUAACAACAACAAAUAAACAUGGCUACAAUAGCAACAACAUACCAAACCUGCUUAUCUUAUUUCCCCGGACAAGCCAAGCCUACCUCAACUUCUCCCAUAUCAAUACAAACUUGGAAUUUUAUGACACGAAUGAAAGCAAUGUGAUUUUUGCUUCUUGCUUCCUCUCACAUUGCGCACGUAUAUAUACAAACUGAUACAGCAGCAUCAAUGGAGAAUAGCCUAAAUAAAUAAUUCAUCUUCCUUGGAUUCAUCCAAACUACACAUCAAUAGCCUGUGCAACAGACUUUGUGAGGUUCGAGUCACCUUUUCCAUUUAAGUUCGGCUUGUACCUCGCAGGUUUAUGAGAACCUCCUGUCCCUUUACCUGCAAUUCUGCCAUGCCUCGCUGCUUGACCCCCAGC